CAGAGUCACGGGAAGGUGGAGCCUUAAGCUCCCAGAAGAAAUCAAUUUAAUCUCCCACUAGGGUGACAGGAUCAAGUGUAUGUCUCCAAAGGGCUUUUGCUAAGUCUGGUCUAAAAAUCCUCCAGAAACAGAGACUCCAUGGUAACCUAUGGCCUGUUCCUACGCAUCACCACCCAAAGAGAUAAUCUGGGAGAGCAGCAAGUGACUACUCCUCUGGGCUUUGGAGGCAAGCCAACACAAUUACUCUCACCCUGUUCUCCGAGGUGGCAGCUGCAGCGAGAGCAGGAUGCAGAAAACAGCCAUGAAACCAAAGGGUUACAGACUUAGCAGCCAAGUCCUCGUUCAUCUGCCGAUCAGCCAGAGCUCCUAACUUGGAUGACAAAACCUCACAGCUCACUCUUUGUGUUGAAUAGUUACGAACUACCAGUCAAGUACAAAGUGCCCUCAUGAAGGUCUAAUGUUAGCCCCACUGUCCUUCCACCUGUCUUUAGUUGCUGAUGGUAGUAGUAGCAUAAAUAUGCAACCGAGCCAAGAGUAUGCUGUCUUGCAGAUUCUGUUCUCCUAAUGUGUCUAAUUGGACAGUGUUACUUAUAAAGUCUACUGAUACUCUGCCAAAUGCCAACUUAGAUUUUUGAUUGCAUUCAGCAACUUGCUCACACAAAGAAAAACACUUUCCCACUGAAACGCCUUAGCUCCUGGAUUGCAGAUAUGGCAGAUGUUUUGUGUAGGCAAUUAAGGUUAAGGAGAAACUAGUUACCUGUGAGGGACAGGUAGUGAGAGAGGAUAAUGCCUAAAUCCCAUUUCUAGGAUUUGCAGCUUCAUAGGAGAGGAAUAAUUCCGUUAUUUGAGCUAUGUGACAUCUUCAAAGAAGUUGCUGAAGCAUUUGGUAAGAGACAGAGUAAAUAAAAGUACAAAGGAAAAGAGAAAUACAGAAAGGUGAAGUAAUUUAUCCAAGUCAGGCUAAUCACAUUGGGCAGAGAAAAGAUCCCAGACUUUCUGAGUCCUAAGCCUGUAUCUUAGUUGCUAAGCAACUGUCCUGAAUAUAAGGGUGCCCAAAGCACAGCAUAUCAAAUAUUAUAACACUGGUGUACUGACACCUUCUGUUUUGAUUCGUGCCGUAUCUAAAGUAUAAGGGAAAGAAAUGAGCUGCUUUGUCCAGCUGCAACUUCAGUUCUUCUGCAUGUAAUCUCUUAAAUAAGACCCCUCAGUUUGGAGUCCAGUUGUUCAAAGCUUCCUUACCAGCAGACAUAAAAGAGCACUUCCAGCAGGUGAGUCAUACAGCUUCAUUCUGGAAUGAUUUCAUGAAGGUAUCUUGCUCCAAUGUCCAAGAGAAAUGAUGGGGAGGACCUUAGCUUAGAGUCCGAGCUAAGGUGCGUCAUCCAUAGAAACAAAUGGGUGAAACAAAUCUUGGCUUUCACGACUAAGAGGGCUGCUGGAAUACAUCUUUCAUCACUGUAAAAAUGGCUGAAAAUCCUAGUAUUGAGGAGAAAUGGGAAUUUUCUAAUAAGUAGAAAAGGAUUCUUGGAAUUACCAAGCCAAUGUCUGGAAUCCUUCAGUGACACUGUAAUUAUAUGUCACAUCUCCUUUAGCUGACUUUUGGAUGAUUUUCAGUUGGCAGGGUGGAAACAUCCAUCAACCAGCAAAUAUAGCUCAUAGGUCUAAAAUGACAGCCCAGCCUUCCCUGAAAGAAAUCAAGACCAGGGAGAUCAGUUCCAGCAAUGAGAGCCAAAGGUUUUCUUCUAAAGGUGUUGAAGAGCACCCCGGAGGUGGGCUGGGCUUCCCUGCUCAUACCAAGUGUUCACCAAACAGCUUUUGUUUGCACUUCUCUUAUACGCUAAACUGUUAAAAAAAAAAAAAAUCCAGAGCACCAUGGGUAGAAUGGAGAGGAAUUAGCAGAACACUGAUUAGAAAGUUAAAACUAAGAAAUAAUAAAUUACAAAGGGAAGAUUUACCAAAGUCUGGAUGAAAGCUGAUCUGCCUAAAUCCAUACAGCAAUAGACUUCACGUGCUUUUCAGAGCUACUAAAACCUAAAGGUACCUAAAUUCAUUACGUAUUUUUCUACUCAGCCUAAGCUUCCUGAAAAGAAUAUGUUUCCAUAUAUACUUGGUUAUACACCAGAAGUGCCUAUCCUGGCACACAUUAAUUCCUAUCUCCCACCAGUGUUUCUCCAAUGGUCAUGGUGGGUCCUACCAUUCAUGUUGGACUUGAUCCUAGCCUUAUGGCUCAGCUGAGGGUAAGUGAAAUCUAAAUGUUAUUCCCUGCUCCCAGUUAUGCACACGAAUAUACAUAUACAUAUACAUAUACAUAUAACUAUUGUUAAAUGAAAGCUGAAUUGAAAAUUUAGACAUUACAAUUCUGAGGCUGUAAUCCUGCAUUACCACUUCCCAGAUGAGUACUCUAACUGUUAAGCUACAGCCAAGCUUUUUCAUGACUGUCCUUCAUUGGGUCUGCACAGCACUGCUGCUGUUUUGGAUGCGCACUGGUUCAGACUCAAUGCAGGGGACAGGGAUUGCCGAUACUUUCACCAUUAAAGAGAUUUCAGUGAAGGUUCAGUAGAGCCUAGAAGCUGCAUCACCUGCUUCUUGGGAUCAACAAUUCUGAGGGAUGCAGUGCUUCUGUACGGAAAGGUGGUCUGGAUUGCACUUUGUAUGUCUUCAGAGAUGUCAGCCUGCACACUGACUGUGCAGAGGAUUUGGGCGAUCCUGUGAGGUGAAUAGAUAGGACCAUAUUCAACCAGGAUCAGGUACUCAGAUGUCUGGAGGUACUCAAAAGAUCCAAGGGGUAGCAUCUAAGUUAUUAAGUUAUUUAAGCUAAGUUGUGUCACAUUCAAUGACACAAAUUCUUCCUUAUGUCUUUCUGCCUCCUGUAAAAUGUCUUCUCCACUGAUCAUGAGAAUUUCUUAAUGGUAGAGUUAAUUAAGGGCAAUUAAAUAUUGGAACAACUUAGCUAGGGUCUCUAUCUACUCAAAUUUCUGAUUAGAAACUGGAUAGCUUUCUCAAAGAUAAGCUCAUGAAGACUUAAUGGCUUGAUGUAAGAAUUAUCUUGUAGGAGGCUACAUCCUUUGUCAUGCAAAAAGCACAACAGAUGCCCAAAGUAGUUCUAUUUGACUUUCAAUCUACUUAUGUACCUGACAGUAGCCACAAAAGAACUAAUUGUCAGCUUUGGUGAAGCUAUACUGCAUUCAUCAUCUGAGAAACCCAUCCAUGUGCUGUAUAUAUUUUAAAGGAAAAAAAAGAAUAAAAAAAAGCUGAGGGUAAGAAAAAGCUUGCAAGCGAAUCCUAGAAGUUUACAUUAAAAAUAUAAUUUGUAACCAUCUGUGUAGAACAAACCCAAUAAACCAUCAAUUAUCAGUGAGCUCUAUCAUUAAUGAAA